UGGCAAAUGAUGAUGCAUUUUUCAUGCAAUUAAACAUUUUUUUUCUCUGGGGUUUAGAUUUCUUGAAACAUGAUGGCUGAGUGUGGAAAAUGAAGAAAAAAAGGUUUGUUUUCAAUUAUACAAUUACACUCUUGCAAGGUUUAAAUGCAGAGAACCUGACCAAAUAAUAGGAGAAAUGGCUGCUUCUGUUGUGAUGAAAUCUAAACUAAUAAGCUGGAAUUACCGUCAGAUUGUUCAGUGUUGAUCAUUGGUUUUCUGAACACACAAUGUUUAACUUCUCUUUGUUCAGUUAAUUUGGUCUUUUUGUAAACCUUAAAAAAAUGUUUCCCCUUAAGGCAAUGAGCUGGUGAAGGCUGAUCUGAAAUGUGGUUCCUGCAGUGCAGCGUCACCUCUUCAGAAGACUCUUAUCUUCUCAGACUGACUAUCUUGCAUAUGUUGAGGCUGCUUUAAAGGACUGGAUCAAGUUGGAGACCUUGUUUCAGUGUCUGCAUACACAAUGUGGUGGUGAAACAUGGUUUCUGCAGACUGAACUACUGCAACUCCUUCCUGCCUCACGUGAAGAGCUGCAGAGUGCAGCAGUUUGACUUCGUACGCCCAGACUUGGUCACAGACGUCAGGGAGUUAAACGGCCUUUCAAUGCAUUAUAU